GCAGAUUAUGAGAAAGGGCAGAAACAUUUUGGUUACACUAUCCUCCAAGAGUUGCUGAAUGACAUUCACCUUUACUUCGGUUUGCUCUUCAAUUCUUGCACCUGUCCUUGGUUAGAGAGUGAAGUAGCAGCAUCAGUUCUCUUCCUUUUGCAUGGAUUUCAAUUUUAAGUGAAGUUGACAACUAAAAAGAGCACAUGGUUAUCAGAUAUGUUCAAGUCAUAGUUGGAGUCAUGGUAUUUACAUUUUUCAAAACGUCUAAAUUAAUACUCAAAAUGCAAAUAACGUGAUUGAACUAUAUAUAAAUGCCUAGUCGAUGUAGGAAGAACAAAAAAACGUAUGUUGCUAAACACAAAUUUCAUACAAGUUGGUUCAUUGAAUGCACCCCAUGUUUCCAUACCAGGAAGUGUGUGACGUUGGCGCGCUCGUUGAAAGCAAACCCCGGGCAGACUUACAACGAUGUUAACGUUAGUAGGCAGACAUUUAACGACUUAAAAUAAAUAUAUAGCUACACUUUCUUGUCACAUUUGAUUUUUGUUGCAAAACACACGGGUUGCAGCCAUCGGUCAUGGAGUUAUCACCGCUUAUAAAGAAGAUUGGUCACUCCUUGGCAGAGAUCAGAGUCCGAGCAUUGAAGAGCAUCAUCUGUAAGCUAGACCACUCUCUCCUCUCUGUCUCUGACCUGGUCCAGGAGAAGAUGCUGUUUGUUUACCUGCUGGAGUGGUUUAACUUCCCCGAGGUGCCAAUGCAAGAGGAGGUCCUGCAGCUGAUCAGUACUCUGUCCAAGCACCCUACUGCAGCCCAGAUGCUGAGAGAUGUCGGGGCAGUGGAGUUCCUCACCCAACUCUCCCCCAACGUAGAGCCACCGUUACGGGCCAUCAUCGACGGCAUCUUCGAUCUGCUGUUUCAGCUUCCGGAGCUGCUUCCUGCUUGUCCAACCAUCUAUUCUAAUAUACACCAGCUACAGAACACCACUACUGCAGUUCUCCUAGAAGAGGACUCUCCAGCGGUGGGCUAUUUCCAGACAAAGAGGCCGAGUCACAUUGAUGUUCCACCACAGAGGAUAGCAGUGAAUAACUCUGUUGGAUGUCUGAAGUUUUCUACAUUUCCCUGGUUGGCUUUGACCACAACAGACCAACACAUAUUGUCAUCCAAUGAGAGUUCUCUAAGGAGUAACAACCACAACUUGGUGAGGACCACGUGUGAGCUCCUACGUGACGUCAUCAUGCAGGACUUCCCGGCUGAGAUAUUUCUCCAGCGUCCCAGUAUCGUGCAGAACCUCCUGUCCAUCCUGAGGCUGACUCCAGGUGAGAGUGAGGCAGGCUACCUGAGACUGCAGGCAGUGGCCUGUCUACAGCAGCUGUGUGUGGGGCUGAGGAGGAGACUUCGUUUCCACAGAGACCCCAGCUUCUACUCCGCAAAGGAAGACCCAGUGUCCCAGAACUCGUCACUGUCUUACUCCCAGGAGGUGCACGGGGGGGGGGGCCAGCGCUCCCUGGCCUCGUCCCCAGGAGGAGAGUGCUUUCCUCGGCCCUCUGUGGUGGGGCGUAACGGCCAAAGACCCAGAGGGGACGGCCAAGAUGGGGAUGCUGCCUCCAACAGCAGCAGUAGCUCUCAGAGAGGUGGAGCUGCAGCUCAGGCCUCCAGGCAGACCGCCCCCUCGCCUGCAGACGCAGCCCAACUAGAGCUGCCUGAUCUGGGGGUGGAGGAUGUCCUCGUGCUGCAGCUCCAACAGCUCAGCCUGGCCCAGUUUACUGUGGCCACCAUGGAGCAUGCCAUACCACUGCUCAGGACAGACGGCGUGCGUGUGUUCCGGGGUGUGUGUGAGCUGCUGUGUGAGGCAGUGGUCCUGCUGAGAGACGGUGUGUGUGAUCUGGUCUGGGACGACACCAGCCUGGUGGGGAUGGAGCUGAGGGAGAAGCUGAAGAUUACCAUGGAGACACUGGGUGACAUCAUGACCUAUCAUGAGAGCUGUUCCUCAGACUGCCCUGAGAGUUCAUUGGUCCAGCACAGACUGGCCUACGUAGCCACAGCCGUCUUCACCAUCAGACUGCUGCAGACCAUCCUGCCCCUGGAGAAGGCCAGUGGUCAUCUCCCGGAGAGUGGUGUGGCAGUCCUCUUGUCUCUGUGUCUGGACCGGCCCUUCAGCUUGGCCUAUCCCAGCAUGGCGGAGGCUGCGGUGGCCUACUUGGAGCAGGUGAACCCUGAAGGCCAUGACCUCUACAGGAGGACCAGCCGUGCUGCUCUCUGGAUGGAGUCCACCUGCAUGUUUCUUAAGGAGACGCAGCAACAGGGAGAUAAGAACUGGUUUGAAUUACUGGAGCUGGCAGACCAGGCCAUAGAUGGCCUUCCAUACCACCAACACCUACCUAUUGUCAAGGAGUGCAUCCACAUCUGCUCCUACUUGUGGAAGUUUGAGCAGGCCAGUCCGCUGCUCCAGACAGAGAGCCAGAGGGUUCUACUGAAGCUUCUGACCCAUCCCCUCCUCCCUGUGAAGACUGAGACCUACACCUGCACCCUCAAUGUAGUCAAGGAGUGUCUGGGGGUUCAGAAUGUGGUCAAGCCCGUGUCGUCAGUCUGUAGUGGGGUUAAUUUCCUCCUUCACCCCAAAGUCCUCUACCAGAUCAGCGCAUUUGGACUCCAGGACCCAAUUGGGAAGGUAAACUCUGCUGCCAAGGAUAUUCUGCUCUUCCUGCUGAAGUGCCCAUUAAUGAUGACAGCAUCAACAUGGGACAGGUUCAACCAGGCACUUUACCCAGUCAUCCCCAUAUUACAGAGUUACGCAGGCACAGAGGAUGCACUGGGAAACUGUGUUCUUCUGAUAAGUGAAGUGUCGAACGAGGUGAGAGACAGCGUGUUUCCAAACACAGCCAAGUUGAGAGCUGCGCUACGACUACUCUUCACUAAGGAGCCGGAGGUCCGAGCUGCAGCAGUCCAACACCUUCUUCCCCACCUGACCAGUGUAGAGGGGGCUACGACAGUCAGACCAACCCUGGCGGGUCCUGUCCUCUCCUCUCUCCCCUCCCUCUUCUGUCUCAACAAUGCACUGGACAUCAACCUGGACAGCAGCGACCGAUCCUUCCUUAAGGUGGAGUCAGUGGAGAAGCUGUUCAGCAUCUUUACCUCUGACACUGUUGACCUGACCCUCAGGAGGUCAGCAGCAGAACAACUGGCUGUCGUCCUACAGGAAACAGCAAUGCACCCAGUGUUGAAGAGUCUUGGUGUAACAGAUAAAGUGAUCUGCUUCAUCACAGAGAGUGUGAACGACCACAGGAAGAGCAUGGACUGCCUGUUGGAGCCGUGUGUGUGUAUUCUGAGAAAGCUGGUGUAUGCAGACCCCUCCCUGAGGCAUCUUCUGGCUGAGAAGACCCCCCUCCUCAUCACUCUGCUCAGGGCUUCAUUGCUUGUCAAGGAGAAUAAAGGGGAUGUCAGUGAGGCGGCUGUGUUGAUGUGUCUGCUGCUCUUUGAUGAGAUUGCCACAGUAGAAGUGUGGUCGGACAAUUCCAGCUCCGACAUGGCUCUCUCACCGUUCUCUCUCCCUGUGUCUGUCAUACGAAGGUACAACCUACCGUUCCAGGCCGCGUCCCACCAUGCGGUGAGCCCCUACUGCUCCGUCCUGCCCCCCUACUCUGACCUCCUCUCCCUGACCCCCGCCAAGGAGACCCUGCAGCUGGCCUGGAACACCGCAUGGCAUUCUGGGAUAGAUAACCUCUUGGAGGAGCUCCGUGGGAUCCGCAGUGAUGUCACCGAUUUCCACGGUGAUCUGAGCCUUUCAGGGUCGCAGGUUCUGUCAUUACGGGCAACACACCUCCCCAGCAGCCUUCAGGACUGCGUCCAGGACAUCAUCAUGGCAGCAGGCCAUGCCUCUGUGACCUCUGCACUCUCCAGGCUCCGCCUCCACCUGCUGAUUGACAGGAUGGCCAUCACAGGCACUCACACACACAGCUGCAGGGACACUCUCCGUUCCCUCACCUGGCAGCCCGCCAUAGCAAGGUUUGUGCAGGUGCGUCCAGCGUGUGUGGAGGAUGAGAGGUUGCUGGUGGACGUUAUAGCGUUCCUGAAUGCCUACUUCAAACAGAGCCAUUUAGGGUCCGAGGACAAGGACCUCCGCUGGAUACUGGAGCUACUCCUCAAACAGGAGACCAACUCACUGCUGGACCUGCUGAUCGGCGAGGACUCGCAGACACACACGCCGACACACACGGCGAGUCAGGGAGAGACGGAGGAACUAGUAGAACUGAGGGCCCAGAUCAACCAGAGACUGCAGAGAGAACUGACCGGGUUCAUCAACACAUUACUGCACCGCCUCACACACACCACCGACAGGUUUUGCUUGGCGCUGACAGGGCCCUUUGAGAGCCAGCUGGCAGUGCGGUUUCUCCAGUGCCUGCGGGUGUCAGACGCCCCACGCUUCUACGGCCUCCCGAGUCUGGAGAGGAAUCUGCUGGGCAUGGUCAGCCUCACGGCCCAACCCGGCUGGAGCUCACACUGUCCCACCAUGGAGCCCCAGUCUCUCUGCACCAAGUACCUCAGUGGACUACUGGAGGUGAUCUCGUCAUUCUACGUGGAGUGGGGGGGUAACUCCAUGUCCUUCAUGGGGAAAGGAGUCACCAAGAACGCUGUCAUCUGUCUGCUUCACUUGUCCCAUGAGAUGAUGGCCCAGAACAAAGACAAGGACUUCAUUUCUCAGUGGUCUUUGGGUCAGGAGGCGGGGUCUGAUGACCCCAGUGGGUCACAGCUGGGUCUUGCCUGGCUCAUACCUCUGUGGGUGGACAGAGACCCGGAGGUGAGGUUUGCCAGCCUGGGUGUGGGCUCUGCCCUGUCCUCUGUGCCCAGUGGAUGCCAGUCUUUGAGUAGCAGCUGUCAGAAUAUCAGUGGAGGUUUGUGGGGAACCCUGCUCAACAUCCUCCUGGACCAGCAAGAGAGCACCAUGGUCCGCAGAGAGGCGGUGUUUAUCCUCCAGAACCUACUGGUGAUGCCCAUGCCUGCCACAGCUGACCAGGUCACCGACUCUACAUGGCAGAGUCCGUGUGUCCAUGAUGAGUCUUCAGGUGUAUGUCUGGUGGGUCUCCAAGCCCUACAGGCUCUGCUCUACCACUGUCAGUUCUUCCAGCACACUGCCCUCAUGGCCACAGCCUGCUACAGAGGCAGGUACACCUUCGACCUGCAACCCUCAGCCAGGGACCCCGGCCCACAGGACAGCACCAAUGAAGAUGCGGAUGACUCCCUGAGGUUGUGGAGACCUCCUAACCGAGUCCCAGUGAAUCCUAGCAGGGCCUCUGGCUCCCUGUCCACCUCCAGCACUCUGAUCAUACCUGGAGGCUCAAGGCUUCAAUCCCCUGUGCCCACCUCUCUCAACGCUACUGCACAAGAUACACCCGCUAGCAGACUGAUGGCUCAAGGUCAGAGUGACACAGACACCAUUGACUCUGUCCUCUCCCAGGACUCCAGACUGGCUGACCCUGCUCCUGACCCCACCUGUGUCAUUGUGACCCCAGACCUUUUAUCAGCACUCUGCGGCCUCCUGGCCAACCUGUUAGCAGUGCUACCGGAGUUCACCCUCUCAGCCCUCACACACAGCCAGCUCUUCCAAUCACUGGCCAGUUUGGUGGACGCAGCAGCCAUAGAGAGAUGUCUGGGUGAGCUGAAGACUAACGUACUACCAGGAGACCAGGAGGACAUUAAACGGCAGGUCCUGACCCUGCUCAAGUUCCUGUCCAGCUUCUCUAAGUUCCUGAAGUCAUGUUUCAUUCUGAGCUCAGAUCUGAUUGGUCAGAUGGACUUCCUGAAACCGCUACUGGCCAAUCUCUUCACUGUCCUCACACUUGAUACCAAGGACUUGGGCGAUGGUACCCGUGGUGCUGUGUGUGUUUGCUGGACAGACGUAUUGAUGCUUCUGGCUACUGUGGUGAGGCGGGAUGGCUCUGCAGCCUACCAAUCUCUCUCUGCUGCACUAGGGAGACGCUGGAACACAUUCACAGCCACGUUGUCAGUGUGUGUGGACCAGUCGUUCAGUGACCCUCCCCUCCAUGCUGCGGUACUGCAGUUCCUGUGUGUCGUCCUGUCUGAGGAGGCCAAGAGACGACCCCUAGAGGUCACCACCCUGAACCCGGACCUCCAGCUGACCCCUCUGUCUGAGGCCCUGAACGGCGCCUCCGGUGGACAGCUCUGUGAACUAUUACUGGAGAGUUUUGAGAAGCGUGCGUUCCAGGACCCAGUGAAGAAGACGACAGCUAAAGCCCUCAUGGCUCUACUGGCCUGCAGUCUCACUGCUCAGAACCACGCUGCUCAAGGUACUGCAACACACUGGUCAGAACCACACAGCUAAAGGUACUGGAACACACUGGUCAGAAGCACGCUGCUCAAGGUACUGCAACACACUGGUCAGAACCACACAGCUAAAGGUACUGGAACACACUGGUCAGAAGCACGCUGCUCAAGGUACUGGAACACACUGGUCAGAAGCACGCUGCUCAAGGUACUGGAACACACUGGUCAGAACCACACAGCUAAAGGUACUGGAACACACUGUUCAGAACCACGCUGCUCAAGGUACUGGAACACACUGUUCAGAACCACGCUGCUCAAGGUACUGGAACACACUGGUCAGAACCACACAGCUAAAGGUACUGGAACACACUGUUCAGAACCACGCUGCGAAAGGUACUGGAACACACUGUUCAGAACCACGCUGCGAAAGGUACUGGAACACACUGGUCAGAACCACACAGCUAAAGGUACUGGAACACACUGGUCAGAACCACACAGCUAAAGGUACUGGAACACACUGGUCAGAACCACACUGCUAAAGGUACUGGAACACACUGUUCAGAACCACGCUGCGAAAGGUACUGGAACACACUGGUCAGAACCACACAGCUAAAGGUACUGGAACACACUGUUCAGAACCACGCUGCGAAAGGUACUGGAACACACUGUUCAGAACCACGCUGCGAAAGGUACUGGAACACACUGGUCAGAACCACACUGCUAAAGGUACUGGAACACACUGGUCAGAACCACGCUGCUAAAGGUACUGGAACACACUGGUCAGAACCACACUGCUAAAGGUACUGGAACACACUGGUCAGAACCACGCUGCUAAAGGUACUGGAACACACUGUUCGGAACCACACUGCUAAAGGUACCGGAACACACUGGUCAGAACCACACUGCUAAAGGUACCGGAACACACUGGUCAGAACCACGCUGCUAAAGGUACUGGAACACACUGGUCAGAACCACGCUGCUAAAGGUACUGGAACACACUGUUCAGAAUCACACUGCUAAAGGUACCGGAACACACUGGUCAGAACCACACUACUAAAGGUACUGGAACACACUGGUCAGAACCACACUACUAAAGGUACUGGAACACACUGGUCAGAACCACGCUGCUAAAGGUACUGGAACACACUGGUCAGAACCACACUACUAAAGGUACUGGAACACACUGGUCAGAACCACACUGCUAAAGGUACUGGAACACACUGGUCAGAACCACACUACUAAAGGUACUGGAACACACUGGUCAGAACCACACUGCUAAAGGUACUGGAACACACUGGUCAGAACCACACUACUAAAGGUACUGGAACACACUGGUCAGAACCACACUGCUAAAGGUACUGGAACACACUGGUCAGAACCACACUACUAAAGGUACUGGAACACACUGGUCAGAACCACACUGCUAAAGGUACUGGAACACACUGGUCAGAACCACACUACUAAAGGUACUGGAACACACUGGUCAGAACCACACUGCUAAAGGUACUGGAACACACUGGUCAGAACCACACUACUAAAGGUACUGGAACACACUGGUCAGAACCACACUGCUAAAGGUACUGGAACACACUGUUCAGUAGAGCUCAUUUACAGUAGGAUGGGCGUAAUACUCUAGCCUCUACCAAGAGGUCUGUACUUUUAUGCAACAAGAGGCAGUGAACAAGCGCGCCCUGGUCCGGCUACUAUACCCUAGGAGUUAUUGUUGUCAUGAUUGACCGCUCUCUCACUGCCUCUGUGUCUGUGUGAAGCUGGUUUGAUUGACAGCUGUGUGGAGCAGA